rnacentral:rRNA from 1 species
AGUGAACGCUGGCGGUAGGCCUAACACAUGCAAGUCGAACGGCAGCACAGUAAGAGCUUGCUCUUACGGGUGGCGAGUGGCGGACGGGUGAGGAAUACAUCGGAAUCUACUUUUUCGUGGGGGAUAACGUAGGGAAACUUACGCUAAUACCGCAUACGACCUACGGGUGAAAGCAGGGGAUCUUCGGACCUUGCGCGAUUGAAUGAGCCGAUGUCGGAUUAGCUAGUUGGCGGGGUAAAGGCCCACCAAGGCGACGAUCCGUAGCUGGUCUGAGAGGAUGAUCAGCCACACUGGAACUAAGACACGGUCCAGACUCCUACGGGAGGCAGCAGUAGGGAAUAUUGGACAAUGGGCGCAAGCCUGAUCCAGCCAUACCGCGUGGGUGAAGAAGGCCUUCGGGUUGUAAAACCCUUUUGUUGGGAAAGAAAAGCAGCAGGUUAAUACCCCGCUGUUCUGACGGUACCCAAAGAAUAAGCACCGGCUAACUUCGUG